CGGGGACACUUGGCAACCACCCGCGCGCAAGGCCGAACAAGGAAAGCCGAAGCCCCAUCAGCACAGCGCGCAGCCAAAGUACACAUGGCAAACACCUGCGCACAAGGCCGCACAAGGAAAGCCAAAGCCCGGUCAGUCCAGCGCGCAGCCAAAGGACACUUGGCAGCCAUCAGCGCACGGGCGCAAACAAGGAAGGCUGUCACCAGAUUGCGCCCAGCCGAAACCACCCGAGCAGAACACAUGGCAAGCAUCCCAGCCUUGGCGCCGGGCCAAACAUGGAAGGCGCACGCACAAGAUCAAAGGAGGAGCCUGCGGGCUCUUCCAUAGAGAUCCGGCAGGAGAAGACACCAGCGGCCGAGAUGCACCCGGCCAAGAGAUGUGCGCACACAAGGGAGACACGCUAGCAAUCCAUGGCAACCACGGCGGACCCCGGCAGAAUCCAAGCAAAUCAGGCAGCGCAGCCCAGCCACCUGCACAACAACCAAAUCAGGCCGAACAAGGGCAAGUGGCACGAGCAGCAAGCGACACGCGCACAAGCCCAGCCGAGGAUCAAUCUCAAGCGACCAACGCAUUGAGGCACAUGGCCGAAAGGAGCCAGAAUUAGCCAAGUCGUUGGCGGCCAAAGGAGGCAGCCAAUCAACCUAGAGAAGAGUCCAAAAAUAAGCCAAGGCACUCGGCCUAUAAGGAGCCUUUAGGGCACUUUGGCAAAGCAUCUUUUGAAUCAUCUUUUCAUUGAGUUUUCUGCAUAGAGUCAAGGGUUUCAUUCCCUUUGUUUGUCGGCCGAAAGGCUUGGGCUAAGGUGGAGAACAUCACUCCCCUUAGAUUGUUUAGACGGCGCAAGGUUCCUUCCGGAUCUCGCCAAGAGUCUUUGUAAUUCGUUGCUUUUGGAAUAGAGUCAAUCUUCUUCAAACAUAGCCCCAUAUUAUUGAUUCUUUCACCACGCCGGCAGCCAAGAGGCAAGCAUACGGCUUGGAUUCCACGGCAGCAAGAAGGAAGAGCGAUACCCACAAGUCGGUCCCAAGGCAA
rnacentral:lncRNA from 1 species